GGGGGACCUUCGGGCCUCUUGCCAUCGGAUGUGCCCAGAUGGGAUUAGCUUGUUGGUGGGGUAACGGCUCACCAAGGCGACGAUCCCUAGCUGGUCUGAGAGGAUGACCAGCCACACUGGAACUGAGACACGGUCCAGACUCCUACGGGAGGCAGCAGUGGGGAAUAUUGCACAAUGGGCGCAAGCCUGAUGCAGCCAUGCCGCGUGUAUGAAGAAGGCCUUCGGGUUGUAAAGUACUUUCAGCGGGGAGGAAGGGAGUAAAGUUAAUACCUUUGCUCAUUGACGUUACCCGCAGAAGAAGCACCGGCUAACUCCGUGCCAGCAGCCGCGGUAAUACGGAGGGUGCAAGCGUUAAUCGGAAUUACUGGGCGUAAAGCGCACGCAGGCGGUUUGUUAAGUCAGAUGUGAAAUCCCCCGGGCUAAA
rnacentral:rRNA from 1 species